GAUUCCAUAGUGUAGCGGUUAGCACGUCUGCUUUACACGCAGAAGGUACUGGGUUCGCCCCCCAGCGGAGCCA
rnacentral:tRNA from 1 species